GACGAACGCUGGCGGCGUGCCUAAUACAUGCAAGUCGAACGCUUCUUUCCUCCCGAGUGCUUGCACUCCAUUGGAAAGAGGAGUGGCGGACGGGUGAGUAACACGUGGGUAACCUACCCAUCAGAGGGGGAUAACACUUGGAAACAGGUGCUAAUACCGCAUAACAGUUUAUGCCGCAUGGCAUAAGAGUGAAAGGCGCUUUCGGGUGUCGCUGAUGGAUGGACCCGCGGUGCAUUAGCUAGUUGGUGAGGUAACGGCUCACCAAGGCCACGAUGCAUAGCCGACGUGAGAGGGUGAUCGGCCACACUGGGACUGAGACACGGCCCAGACUCCUACGGGAGGCAGCAGUAGGGAAUCUUCGGCAAUGGACGAAAGUCUGACCGAGCAACGCCGCGUGAGUGAAGAAGGUUUUCGGAUCGUAAAACUCUGUUGUUAGAGAAGAACAAGGACGUUAGUAACUGAACGUCCCCUGACGGUAUCUAACCAGAAAGCCACGGCUAACUACGUG
rnacentral:rRNA from 1 species